rnacentral:rRNA from 1 species
UACAGAGGGGGCAAGCGUUGUUCGGAAUUACUGGGCGUAAAGGGCGCGUAGGCUGCCGCCUAAGUCAGACGUGAAAUCCCUCGGCUCAACCGGGGAACUGCGUCUGAUACUGGGUGGCUUGAAUCCGGGAGAGGGUCGCGGAAUUCCCGGUGUAGAGGUGAAAUUCGUAGAUAUCGGGAGGAACACCGGUGGCGAAGGCGGCGACCUGGGUAGAUACUGACGCUGAGGUGCGAAAGCGUGGGGAGCAAACAGG